CACAUGGGUGGCGGUGGGGCCUGAGUAAGGGCGUCUUUAUACUUCCGAGGGAGUAUCACGGGGUAGGGUCUUUUGUAGGGUUGGGAUUUGGAAAAUAGUGGGCCUCUGGGGGCUCACACUGGGCAAGAGAGUCCUGUGAGCACGUGGUGUGCCCGCGGCCACAGUCGUGCGUCGUGGACCAGACGGGCAGCGCCCACUGCGUGGUGUGUCGAGCGGCGCCCUGCCCUGUGCCCUCCAGCCCCGGCCAGGAGCUUUGCGGCAACAACAACGUCACCUACAUCUCCUCGUGCCACAUGCGCCAGGCCACCUGCUUCCUGGGCCGCUCCAUCGGCGUGCGCCACGCGGGCAGCUGCGCAGGUGCAGACGCAGGGCGGGGGCACAGGCCUGUCCUGGGGGCCGGAGAACCCCCUGCCCUGCGCCCUCAAUGCUCUUAUCGACCCUUGCAGGCACCCCUGAGGAGCCGCCAGGUGGUGAGUCUGCAGAAGAGGAAGAGAACUUCGUGUGAGCCUGCAGGACAGGCCUGGGCCUGGUGCCCGAGGCCCCCCAUCAUCCCCUGUUAUUUAUUGCC
rnacentral:lncRNA from 1 species